AGCCCGACAGCUAGCUCAACCCCCAAAAUACAACAACACACUGUAACUACCCCCUAACAACCCAAACACCCCUGAAACAAACCAUUUUUCCCCCUUAGUAUGGGCGACAGAAAAGGACCUUCCGAAGCAAUAGAUAAAGUACCGCAAGGGAAUGCUGAAAGAGAAAUGAAACAAAUCAGUUUAAGCACAAUAAAGCAGAGCUUAAUUCUCGUACCUUUUGCAUCAUGACUUAGCAAGAAACCAUCGAGCAAAAUGCCUUUUAGUUUGAUUCCCCGAAACCAAGUGAGCUACUCCAAGACAGCCUAUUAUAGGGCAAACCCGUCUCUGUGGCAAAAGAGUGGGGAGAGCUUUGAGUAGAGGUGACAGACCUACCGAACUUGGUUAUAGCUGGUUGUCCGAGAAUUGAAUAGAAGUUCAGCCUCUUGUCCUCUCUCGCCACACCUUAUUUUUCUAAGCCUAUAAAGAGGGCAAAAGAGUUAGUCAAAGGGGGUACAGCCCCUUUGAAACAGAUACAACUUUCCCAGAAGGGUUAGGAUCAAAGAACACCAGGGACCUUGUUUUGGUUGGCUUAAAAGCAGCCACCCACUUAGAAAGCGUUAAAGCUCAUACACUAACCACCCCUAUUAUUUGGAUCAUUUAAUCUUACCCCCCUACGCAUAUACCGGACCUUUCCAUCACCUAUGGAAGAGAUUAUGCUAAUAUGAGUAAUAAGAGACCCCAGACUCUCUCCCCGCACAAGUUUAAAUCGGAACGGACUAGCACCGAAAAUUAACGGCCUCAAAGAAGAGGGCAUUGGAACAUCAUGGGAAACCGCUAGAAAAACAUCCAUACCACCCCCACCGUUAACCUUACACCAGUGUGCCUACAAGGAAAGACUAAAAGAAAAAGAAGGAACUCGGCA
rnacentral:rRNA from 1 species